rfam:Oryza barthii chromosome 10, whole genome shotgun sequence.
AAUAAGUGCAGUUUUGCACUAUUCAUACUUAACAUUUGACCGUUCAUCUUAUUUGAAAAUUUUUUAUGAUUAGUAUUUUUAUUGCUAUUAGAUGUUAAAACAUAAAUAGUACUUUAUGUGUGACUAAAUAUUUUCAAUUUUUUCACAAAAUUUUUGAAAUAAGACGAACAGUCAAACGUUGAGCACGGAUAUCUACGGCUGCACUUAUU